ensembl:snoRNA
GGCCUUAUGAUGCUUAACACAGGUUGUGUUCUUAUACUAAUUGCAUAGGAGGAGGUAGGGCAUACCUGACCCAUGUACACCUCAGCCCAUGAAACUGUGCCUGGUCUGUAUUGUGAAGGGGAGACAUGA